rnacentral:rRNA from 1 species
CCUACGGGGGGCUGCAGUGAGGAAUAUUGGUCAAUGGGCGGGAGCCUGAACCAGCCAAGUCGCGUGAGGGAAGACGGUCCUAUGGAUUGUAAACCUCUUUAGGCGGGGAGCAAUGCCGGGCACGUGUGCCCGGAGGGAGAGUACCCGCAGAAUAAGCAUCGGCUAACUCCGUGCCAGCAGCCGCGGUAAUACGGAGGAUGCGAGCGUUAUCCGGAUUUAUGGGGUUUAAAGGGUGCGUAGGCGGAUUUUUAAGUCAGCGGUAAAAUGUCCGGGCUCAACCCGGGCCGGCCGUUGAAACUGGGGAUCUUGAGUGGGCGAGAAGUAUGCGGAAUGCGUGGUGUAGCGGUGAAAUGCAUAGAUAUCACGCAGAACUCCGAUUGCGAAGGCAGCAUACCGGCGCCCGACUGACGCUGAGGCACGAAAGCGUGGGGAUCGAACAGGAUUAGAUACCCCAGUAGUC